rnacentral:lncRNA from 1 species
CAAGAUCUCCCGCACCCUGAAGCCACCCUCUGAGGUAGGUUAAGUGUGACACCGGAAGGUUGAGAGUCUCUUCCAGGCAGAGGCCAAGAAAAGGGAAUGUCAACUCCAGGCCUGGCUCUGGUCUGCACCCACCCCCACGUGGCUCCCCGUUGAGUGUCACCCCCAUCCCGCCAUCACGGACCUGACUGUGACCUGCGCGAGGCUCUGAGCUCCCGGGGGAAGCUCUGCAGGUCUGAGCAAGUCCCUGGGAGAAUCAGGCUCUCACUCUUGCUGCCUUUCCAUGCUCUGCAGGCGCUGAGAUUCCAGUUCCGUCAUUCUCCUCAGAACAGACAGGGCUUUUGGUUUUUACUGUAGCUGCCAACUCUGACUCAAGCCGGAGACAAAUUGAUGGGAUAAUAGAGAGAAACUCUCUGUGAAGCAAGGACUAAAUGAGAGAGAACUAAGAGAGGAAGGAUAGCUGGAGUCACAGGCACCGCCAUGCCUGGCACAUACUAGAGAUGCAUUUUGUUGGACGUGUUAGGGGACACCACAUUCCACAGAGCGUAGGGAAGCCAGCGCACCACCGGAAAUCUGCAUCGAGUUAUGCAUUUGGAUUUCCUUUUAAACCACACCUGGCUCAUCCCCCACUACGGUCCACAGCCCUCAUUCUUCAGUGUCUACUGAACUACUGGAUCCAGCAGGAGUAACUGCGCUACACAAGUGCCGAGAUUGAGAGGGUCUUCAUUCUGCUCAGAACAAUGUAACAAAGAUGGAAAAAAAGGCCCACCCGGAAGUAUAGUAUCAUGGGACUUGUGAUAAUGAAAUAAUGCUAGAAAAUUCCAAAAACCUGAUCACACACAAAGGGCUGGGAAGGAGAAUAGCACUGCAUUUUUCAGUAGCAAUACCACGCACCA